GAAUACUUCCUGAAAUUCUCAUGUCUCUAAAAAUGUUACUCGCCAAGAAUACUUCCAGGAAGUCUUCUAGACUCUAAAUUUAUACCCUAAACUUAAAUAACUAACAAAAUAGAAAAUAAACAAUUCACUAAACUUAAAAUAAACUUUGAAAGUGCUUAAUAUACAUGAAACUAAACACAUAUAGGAUAAAUUUUAAUUUUCCAAAAAAAUGUGCUUCCAAAAUCUAACCCUAAAAAUACAAACAAUACAACAACAUAUGUUACCGAACCCUAAACCAAAGAAUACUAUGACUCACUACCUUC
rnacentral:lncRNA from 1 species